rnacentral:snRNA from 1 species
GUGCUCACCUUGGGCAGCACAGACACUAAAACUGUAACGAUACAGAGAUUAGCAUGGCCCCUGCACAAUGA